rnacentral:tRNA from 1 species
GCGCCCGUAGCUCAGUGGAUAGAGCAUCCGCCUUCUAAGCGGAUGGUCGUUGGUUCGAUCCCAACCGGGCGUA